GGAAGAGUGGCCGAGUGGUUGAAGGCGCACGCUUGGAAAGCGUGUUCAGGUGUAAACCAUCUGACAAGGGUUCGAAUCCCUUUUCUUCCGCCG
rnacentral:tRNA from 1 species